AGUACUAGGAAGACGAGAGCUAAUGGGCUUUGUUGCUGACUAUAUACAAUACUAUGAUCACACUAAGAAACCUUCAGAAGCAGCAAACGAGCAAGUGCAUUGGCUGCUUGACAAAUU